rnacentral:rRNA from 1 species
UACGUAGGGUGCGAGCGUUAAUCGGAAUUACUGGGCGUAAAGCGUGCGCAGGCGGUUGGUCGUGUCCUGUGUGAAAGCCCCGGGCUUAACCUGGGAAUUGCAAUGGAUACUGGCAGGCUAGAGUGCGGUAGAGGAUGGCGGAAUUCCCGGUGUAGCAGUGAAAUGCGUAGAGAUCGGGAGGAACAUCUGUGGCGAAGGCGGCCAUCUGGACCAGCACUGACACUGAGGCACGAAAGCGUGGGGAGCAAACAGG